UAGCAGUUUCUUUCUUGUAGCCAUACUUGC
rnacentral:piRNA from 1 species